rnacentral:lncRNA from 1 species
AUGAUCAAGGCGAUCCUAAUCUUCAACAACCACGGGAAGCCGCGGCUCUCCAAGUUCUACCGCCCCUACAGUGAAGAUACACAACAGCAAAUCAUCAGGGAGACUUUCCAUUUGGUAUCUAAGAGAGAUGAAAAUGUUUGUAAUUUCCUAGAAGGGGGAUUAUUAAUUGGAGGAUCUGACAACAAACUGAUUUAUAGACAUUACACAACGUUAUAUUUUGUCUUCUGUGUAGAUUCUUCAGAAAGUGAACUUGGCAUUUUAGAUGUCAUUCAAGUAUUUGUGGAAACAUUAGACAAAUGUUUUGAAAAUGUCUGUGAACUGGAUUUGAUUUUCCAUGUAGACAAGGUUCACAGUAUUCUUGCAGAAAUAGUAUGGGGGGAAUGGUAUUGGAGACAAACAUGAAUGAGAUUGUUACACAAAUUGAUGCACAAAGUAAGCUGGAAAAAUCUGAGGGUGGCUUAGUGGGAGCUCCAGCCUGUGCUGUAUCAGCUGUAAAGAAUAUGAAUCUUCCUGAGAUCCCAAGAAAUAUUAACAUUGGUGACAUCAGUAUAAAAGUGCCAAACCUGUCCUCUUUU